rnacentral:rRNA from 1 species
GAGUUUGAUCGUGGCUCAGAACGAACGCUGGCGGCAUGCCUAACACAUGCAAGUCGAACGAAGUCUUCGGACUUAGUGGCGCACGGGUGCGUAACGCGUGGGAAUCUGCCCUUGGGUACGGAAUAACUCAGAGAAAUUUGUGCUAAUACCGUAUAAUGUCUUCGGACCAAAGAUUUAUCGCCCAAGGAUGAGCCCGCGUAAGAUUAGCUAGUUGGUGAGGUAAGAGCUCACCAAGGCGACGAUCUUUAGCUGGUCUGAGAGGAUGAUCAGCCACACUGGGACUGAGACACGGCCCAGACUCCUACGGGAGGCAGCAGUGGGGAAUAUUGGACAAUGGGCGAAAGCCUGAUCCAGCAAUGCCGCGUGAGUGAUGAAGGCCUUAGGGUUGUAAAGCUCUUUUACCCGGGAUGAUAAUGACAGUACCGGGAGAAUAAGCUCCGGCUAACUCCGUGCCAGCCGCCGCGGUAAC